ensembl:lncRNA
UUUAAACUUGCACAGCAAGGUGAUGCCCUGCAGGUGUAUCGCCCCCAGACUUAUCGGCCCACCAUCUAUUGUUUUUGGAAGCCCCCCGGUCCUAUAUGAAGCGUUACUCAAAGAGUGAGACCCUCGCCAUUUCGCGUCAGGACCAGCGCCGGUGCAGACCAUUUUCUACCCACACAGAGCGUUUCUGACUGGCUGGCGUUGCUUAAGGGAAAAGCAACAAUACAACGCGGUUCUCUGCUCCAAGACAUCCGCGGUCCUUUCACACGGUAAGCAUGUGUGUUAUAGCCGGCGCUUCAUAAAUGUCUGUCUGUCAGCGCAGAUUAUUCAAACUGUUUUUAAAAUGUGACUAAUUUGUUGUCCAAAAAAAAUUUCCUCUAAAUUUUCAAAGUUACUGAUUUAAAAAUAUAUAUUUUCGAAUUUUUAGCUGGAUGUCAAACAUAUGAUAGAGUCUUGAGCAUAUUUAUAUAGCAAAAUUCACAGUGGUAUAACCAUAAAAGAUGCCCAACUGGACACCAAUGCACUCUAAUGCAAGCCUUUAAACUGUAUGCUGAUAAGUGCAUAAGUAUACCUCAAUAGCUGAAAAGAGUCUGUAUCCAUAAUUUGCGGAUCUGCGGAUUUGUUUUUAAUGUGGCACUUUUUUCACGAACUGCAGAUGAUGAAAUCCUCUUUAUUUGAGAAAGUGUCCCUAAGCUAUUGCUGCUCAUACUUACUGAGUUCCCUAGCUACGUCUUUACUGUGUCAGUAAACUUUUUGAACAAGAAAGGUAUCGUAGCUUUAAAGACCUUAAUUGAAGCAAAGGCAAAAAAUUGGAAUAAAUUUUAUGUGGCUGUUCAUAUUAAAUCCAUCAAAGAGUGAAAAACCAAAAAGCUGGAAUGCAUUUCCAAAGAAGUGUAGCUCAUACACUGCAAUAAAUGUAUUCUGCUACAUCUGCUAAUGAGAGAACGUGUUUUUUCAUCAUAAAGACUGUGAUAAGAAGCAUCGUUAAAGUGUCACUUCAGUAAUGCUGCUGAGAGAAACAAGUGUUGAUUCUUUUUUUUUUUAAUAGAUGACUUAAAAGACUAAACUCUAAUUUCAAAGGUUUAUUUUAAGUUUAAAGAAUAUAACAGCUGGUAAGACAAUGGGUUUUGCUUCUCGCUGUCCGUGUUAUGUUGUAGUAUCCAUUAUCAUGUAUGCUACUUUGCUCUGUGGACUGUAAAAUGUUUCACUGUAUUCAUGAAAUAAACCAGACUUUCC